GGGUUGUGAGGUUAAGCGACUAAGCGUACACGGUGGAUGCCCUGGCAGUCAGAGGCGAUGAAGGACGUGCUAAUCUGCGAUAAGCGUCGGUAAGGUGAUAUGAACCGUUAUAACCGGCGAUUUCCGAAUGGGGAAACCCAGUGUGAUUCGUCACACUAUCAUUAACUGAAUCCAUAGGUUAAUGAGGCGAACCGGGGGAACUGAAACAUCUAAGUACCCCGAGGAAAAGAAAUCAACCGAGAUUCCCCCAGUAGCGGCGAGCGAACGGGGAGCAGCCCAGAGCCUGAAUCAGUGUGUGUGUUAGUGGAAGCGUCUGGAAAGGCGCGCGAUACAGGGUGACAGCCCCGUACACAAAAAUGCACAUGCUGUGAGCUCGAUGAGUAGGGCGGGACACGUGGUAUCCUGUCUGAAUAUGGGGGGACCAUCCUCCAAGGCUAAAUACUCCUGACUGACCGAUAGUGAACCAGUACCGUGAGGGAAAGGCGAAAAGAACCCCGGCGAGGGGAGUGAAAAAGAACCUGAAACCGUGUACGUACAAGCAGUGGGAGCACGCUUAGGCGUGUGACUGCGUACCUUUUGUAUAAUGGGUCAGCGACUUAUAUUCUGUAGCAAGGUUAACCGAAUAGGGGAGCCGAAGGGAAACCGAGUCUUAACUGGGCGUUAAGUUGCAGGGUAUAGACCCGAAACCCGGUGAUCUAGCCAUGGGCAGGUUGAAGGUUGGGUAACACUAACUGGAGGACCGAACCGACUAAUGUUGAAAAAUUAGCGGAUGACUUGUGGCUGGGGGUGAAAGGCCAAUCAAACCGGGAGAUAGCUGGUUCUCCCCGAAAGCUAUUUAGGUAGCGCCUCGUGAAUUCAUCUCCGGGGGUAGAGCACUGUUUCGGCAAGGGGGUCAUCCCGACUUACCAACCCGAUGCAAACUGCGAAUACCGGAGAAUGUUAUCACGGGAGACACACGGCGGGUGCUAACGUCCGUCGUGAAGAGGGAAACAACCCAGACCGCCAGCUAAGGUCCCAAAGUCAUGGUUAAGUGGGAAACGAUGUGGGAAGGCCCAGACAGCCAGGAUGUUGGCUUAGAAGCAGCCAUCAUUUAAAGAAAGCGUAAUAGCUCACUGGUCGAGUCGGCCUGCGCGGAAGAUGUAACGGGGCUAAACCAUGCACCGAAGCUGCGGCAGCGACGCUGAUGCGUUGUUGGGUAGGGGAGCGUUCUGUAAGCCUGCGAAGGUGUGCUGUGAGGCAUGCUGGAGGUAUCAGAAGUGCGAAUGCUGACAUAAGUAACGAUAAAGCGGGUGAAAAGCCCGCUCGCCGGAAGACCAAGGGUUCCUGUCCAACGUUAAUCGGGGCAGGGUGAGUCGACCCCUAAGGCGAGGCCGAAAGGCGUAGUCGAUGGGAAACAGGUUAAUAUUCCUGUACUUGGUGUUACUGCGAAGGGGGGACGGAGAAGGCUAUGUUGGCCGGGCGACGGUUGUCCCGGUUUAAGCGUGUAGGCUGGUUUUCCAGGCAAAUCCGGAAAAUCAAGGCUGAGGCGUGAUGACGAGGCACUACGGUGCUGAAGCAACAAAUGCCCUGCUUCCAGGAAAAGCCUCUAAGCAUCAGGUAACAUCAAAUCGUACCCCAAACCGACACAGGUGGUCAGGUAGAGAAUACCAAGGCGCUUGAGAGAACUCGGGUGAAGGAACUAGGCAAAAUGGUGCCGUAACUUCGGGAGAAGGCACGCUGAUAUGUAGGUGAAGUCCCUCGCGGAUGGAGCUGAAAUCAGUCGAAGAUACCAGCUGGCUGCAACUGUUUAUUAAAAACACAGCACUGUGCAAACACGAAAGUGGACGUAUACGGUGUGACGCCUGCCCGGUGCCGGAAGGUUAAUUGAUGGGGUCAGCGCAAGCGAAGCUCUUGAUCGAAGCCCCGGUAAACGGCGGCCGUAACUAUAACGGUCCUAAGGUAGCGAAAUUCCUUGUCGGGUAAGUUCCGACCUGCACGAAUGGCGUAAUGAUGGCCAGGCUGUCUCCACCCGAGACUCAGUGAAAUUGAACUCGCUGUGAAGAUGCAGUGUACCCGCGGCAAGACGGAAAGACCCCGUGAACCUUUACUAUAGCUUGACACUGAACAUUGAGCCUUGAUGUGUAGGAUAGGUGGGAGGCUUUGAAGUGUGGACGCCAGUCUGCAUGGAGCCGACCUUGAAAUACCACCCUUUAAUGUUUGAUGUUCUAACGUGGACCCGUAAUCCGGGUUGCGGACAGUGUCUGGUGGGUAGUUUGACUGGGGCGGUCUCCUCCUAAAGAGUAACGGAGGAGCACGAAGGUUGGCUAAUCCUGGUCGGACAUCAGGAGGUUAGUGCAAUGGCAUAAGCCAGCUUGACUGCGAGCGUGACGGCGCGAGCAGGUGCGAAAGCAGGUCAUAGUGAUCCGGUGGUUCUGAAUGGAAGGGCCAUCGCUCAACGGAUAAAAGGUACUCCGGGGAUAACAGGCUGAUACCGCCCAAGAGUUCAUAUCGACGGCGGUGUUUGGCACCUCGAUGUCGGCUCAUCACAUCCUGGGGCUGAAGUAGGUCCCAAGGGUAUGGCUGUUCGCCAUUUAAAGUGGUACGCGAGCUGGGUUUAGAACGUCGUGAGACAGUUCGGUCCCUAUCUGCCGUGGGCGCUGGAGAACUGAGGGGGGCUGCUCCUAGUACGAGAGGACCGGAGUGGACGCAUCACUGGUGUUCGGGUUGUCAUGCCAAUGGCACUGCCCGGUAGCUAAAUGCGGAAGAGAUAAGUGCUGAAAGCAUCUAAGCACGAAACUUGCCCCGAGAUGAGUUCUCCCUGACUCCUUGAGAGUCCUGAAGGAACGUUGAAGACGACGACGUUGAUAGGCCGGGUGUGUAAGCGCAGCGAUGCGUUGAGCUAACCGGUACUAAUGAACCGUGAGGCUUAACCUUACAACGCCGAAG
rnacentral:rRNA from 1 species